GGGGAACUUUGGACAAUGGGGGAAACCCUGAUCCAGCCAUCCCGCGUGUAUGAUGAAGGCCUUCGGGUUGUAAAGUACUUUUGGCAGAGAAGAAAAGGUACCUCCUAAUACGAGGUACUGCUGACGGUAUCUGCAGAAUAAGCACCGGCUAACUACGUGCCAGCAGCCGCGGUAAUACGUAGGGUGCAAGCGUUAAUCGGAAUUACUGGGCGUAAAGCGUGUGUAGGCGGUUCGGAAAGAAAGAUGUGAAAUCCCAGGGCUCAACCUUGGAACUGCAUUUUUAACUGCCGAGCUAGAGUAUGUCAGAGGGGGGUAGAAUUCCACGUGUAGCAGUGAAAUGCGUAGAUAUGUGGAGGAAUACCGAUGGCGAAGGCAGCCCCCUGGGAUAAUACUGACGCUCAGACACGAAAGCGUGGGGAGCAAAC
rnacentral:rRNA from 1 species